rnacentral:rRNA from 1 species
AGAGUUUGAUCCUGGCUCAGGAUGAACGCUAGCGGGAGGCUUAACACAUGCAAGCCGAGGGGUAUAUAGUUUUCGGAUUAUAGAGACCGGCGCACGGGUGCGUAACGCGUAUGUAACUUGCCCUAAUCAAAGGGAUAGCCCAGGGAAACUUGGAUUAAUACCUUAUAAUACUUUAGAUGGCAUCAUUUAGAGUUGAAAGAUUUAUCGGAUUAGGAUAGACAUGCGUAUGAUUAGGUAGUUGGUAGAGUAAUAGCCUACCAAGCCGAUGAUCAUUAGGGGGCCUGAGAGGGUGAACCCCCACACUGGUACUGAGACACGGACCAGACUCCUACGGGAGGCAGCAGUGAGGAAUAUUGGACAAUGGGUGAGAGCCUGAUCCAGCCAUCCCGCGUGAAGGAUUAAGGUCCUAUGGAUUGUAAACUUCUUUUAUACAGGGAUAAACCUCCUUACGUGUAAGUAGCUGAAGGUACUGUAUGAAUAAGCACCGGCUAACUCCGUGCCAGCAGCCGCGGUAAUACGGAGGGUGCAAGCGUUAUCCGGAUUUAUUGGGUUUAAAGGGUCCGUAGGCGGACUUGUAAGUCAGCGGUGAAAUCUCAUAGCUUAACUAUGAAACUGCCGUUGAUACUGUCAGUCUUGAGUGAAGUUGAAGUAGCUGGAAUGAGUAGUGUAGCGGUGAAAUGCAUAGAUAUUACUCAGAACACCAAUAGCGAAGGCAGGUUACUAAAUUUUAACUGACGCUGAGGGACGAAAGCGUGGGGAGCGAACAGGAUUAGAUACCCUGGUAGUCCACGCC